AGAGUUUGAUCCUGGCUCAGAAUCAACGCUGGCGGCGCGCCUAACACAUGCAAGUCGAACGAGAAAGCCCGCAAGGGUGAGUACAGUGGCGUACGGGUGAGUAACACGUGGAUCAUCUACCCUCUAGUGGGGAAUACCGCUGGGAAACCGGCGACAAUACCGCAUAAUCUCGAGAGAGGAAAGCAGCAAUGCGCUGGAGGAGGAGUCCGCGGCUGAUUAGCUAGUUGGUGAGGUAAUGGCUCACCAAGGCUCAGAUCAGUAGCCGGCCUGAGAGGGCACACGGCCACACUGGCACUGAAACACGGGCCAGACUCCUACGGGAGGCAGCAGUGGGGAAUCUUGCACAAUGGGGGAAACCCUGAUGCAGCGACGCCGCGUGAGCGAUGAAGCCCUUCGGGGUGUAAAGCUCUUUCGGCAGGGAAGAUGAUGACGGUACCUGCAGAAGCAGCUGCGGCUAACUACGUGCCAGCAGCCGCGGUAAUACGUAGGCAGCAAGCGUUGUUCGGAGUUACUGGGCGUAAAGGGUGUGUAGGCGGUUGGAUAAGUGUGGUGUGAAAUCUCCCGGCUUAACUGGGAGGGUGCGCUACAAACUGUCUGACUAGAGUGUGGGAUGGGAGAGUGGAAUUCCUGGUGUAGCGGUGAAAUGCGUAGAUAUCAGGAGGAACACCGGUGGUGUAGACGGCUCUCUGGACCAUAACUGACGCUGAGACACGAAAGCGUGGGUAGCAAACAGGAUUAGAUACCCUGGUAGUCCACGCCCUAAACGAUGCAUAUUUGGUGUGGGUCAUUCAUUUGAUCCGUGCCGGAGCUAACGCGUUAAAUAUGCCGCCUGGGGAGUACAGUCGCAAGGCUGAAACUCAAAGGAAUUGACGGGGGCCCGCACAAGCGGUGGAGCAUGUGGGUUCAAUUCGACGCAACGCGAAGAACCUUACCUAGGCUCGAACGGCUUUAGACAAUCCUCAGAAACGGGGACUUCCCGCAAGGGACUGGAGUCGAGGUGCU
rnacentral:rRNA from 1 species